AGCAAAUCCGUUUGAACACGAUUUCAAACAAGCAACUCAAAAUAACGAGAAAGAGAAGGCAAAGUUACAAAUUGAUGGAGUUCAAAAGGUCUUGCCACCUGCUAUUCCUGUAGCUCCUCCUCCUAGCCUAGCUAAUCCUCAAAAAGCUGUUCCCCUUGCCACAGUCCCAGCUCAUAUUGGCACUGCUACAGCACUUACUAAGCAAAAGUUGCUGGCUUCAAUUCAAAAUAAGAAUGUCGUUGAGGCAAAUCAAAAAAAGAAUACUGAGGUAUUAGCUCAAGCUCUUAAAGCUGUCAUUGAGAGUAACAGUGAAAGUGGAUCCAGCUCUGAUGGUUUUGCUGUACCACAGGAUGCUCCCAGGAGGUAUUUCCA